GUAAGGAAUAUUGGACAAUGGACGCAAGUCUGAUCCAGCCAUGCCGCGUGAAGGAUUAAGGUCCUCUGGAUUGUAAACUUCUUUUAUAAGGGACGAAAAAAGGCUUUUCUAAGUCGUCUGACGGUACCUUAUGAAUAAGCACCGGCUAACUCCGUGCCAGCAGCCGCGGUAAUACGGAGGGUGCAAGCGUUAUCCGGAUUCACUGGGUUUAAAGGGUGCGUAGGCGGGCAGGUAAGUCAGUGGUGAAAUCCUAGAGCUUAACUCUAGAACUGCCAUUGAUACUAUCUGUCUUGAAUAUUGUGGAGGUAAGCGGAAUAUGUCAUGUAGCGGUGAAAUGCUUAGAUAUGACAUAGAACACCUAUUGCGAAGGCAGCUUACUACGCAUAUAUUGACGCUGAGGCACGAAAGCGGGGGGAUCAAACAGGAUUAGAUACCCGAGUAGUCC
rnacentral:rRNA from 1 species